GAAGUGGACCGGGCAACCGCGGAAUCCUCGAAAGAGGAUUCUGAGGAAAGUCCGAACACCACAGGGCAGGGUGCUGGGUAACACCCAGUCAGGGUGACCUGAAGGAAAGUGCCACAGAAAACAUACCGCCUAAGCUGAAAAGCUUAGGUAAGGGUGAAAAGGUGAGGUAAGAGCUCACCAGCAGAUGGGUGACCAUCUGGCUUGGUAAACCCCACCCGGUGCAAGGCCAAAUAGGAGGGGUUGAGGUGGCCCGCCGACCCUCGGGUUGGCCGCUUAAGGUAAUGAGUAAUCAUUACCUCAGAUAGAUGGUUGCCACUCCAAUAUUGGAGUACAGAAUUCGGCUUAUAGGUCCACUUCCUCC
rnacentral:RNase_P_RNA from 1 species